rnacentral:rRNA from 1 species
AACGAACGCUGGCGGCGCGCUUAACACAUGCAAGUCGAGCGAGACCACUGGAUCGAAUCCCGUCCGGGUGCGUAACCCGUGGGAACACGGCCUCGGGUUGGGAAAAACUUCAGGAAACGGCCAUCAAAACUGGAAAAUGCCUUCGGACCAAAGAUUUAUCGCAUAUGGAUGGGUCCGCAUAGGAUUAGCUAGUUGGCAACGUCAAAGCCUACCAAGGCGACGAUCCGUAGCUGGACUGAGAGGACGAUCAGCCACACUGGAACUGAGACACGGCCCAGACUCCUACGGGAGGCAGCAGUGGGGAAUAUUGGACAAUGGGCGCAACCCUGAUCCAGCAAUGCCGCGUGAGUGAAGAAGGCCUUAGGGUUGUAAAGUUCUUUUACCCGGGAUGAUAAUGACAGUACCGGGAGAAUAAGCUCCGGCUAACUCCGUG